UACUGUAAAAUCUGCUUCUAGACUGGUCACAUGUCUUGUUUACAAUUAGGAAAUCAUUAAAGCACAGCAGGGCCGAUGUUUCAAAUGGUAAAAAAA